rnacentral:rRNA from 1 species
GGGGAAUAUUGGACAAUGGGCGGAAGCCUGAUCCAGCCAUGCCGCGUGUGUGAUGAAGGCCUUAGGGUUGUAAAGCACUUUCGCCGAUGAAGAUAAUGACGGUAGUCGGAGAAGAAGCCCCGGCUAACUUCGUGCCAGCAGCCGCGGUAAUACGAAGGGGGCAAGCGUUGUUCGGAUUUACUGGGCGUAAAGCGUACGUAGGCGGAUGAUUAAGUCAGGGGUGAAAUCCCGGGGCUCAACCUCGGAACUGCCUUGGAUACUGGUCAUCUUGAGUGCGGGAGAGGUGAGUGGAACUCCUAGUGUAGAGGUGAAAUUCGUGGAUAUUAGGAAGAACACCAGUGGCGAAGGCGGCUCACUGGCCCGGAACUGACGCUGAGGGACGAAAGCGUGGGGAGCAAAC